rnacentral:misc_RNA from 1 species
AAGUCGUAACAAGGUAACCGUAGGUGAACCUGCGGUUGGAUCAUUACAAAAUGAACGUUGGGCUAGAGUGAUCCUCCUCUCGGGGAGUUGAGCAUUCGAACCCGGCGACCAACCACUGUGAAUUAUUCUUGUCUUUUUGGGUGUAGCUUAUGACCGUACGGUUGUAAGAGCCGCCCAAGUAUACAAACCCAUGAAUCUUAGUCUGAACCUUUUUUAUAUAAUUAAAACAA